GCUUCUGGAUUAUCAUCGUGUCGUUCGAUCAUGCUCUCUCGUAUCUUCAUUCAGGAAUUUUACCUCCAUGCAAAAGCCUUUAAAUAUUAAUGGCGAAGCAAGCACGUCAAUCGAUAUACAUAAUGUGCUUUCCAUUUAUCCGUACGCCAGUCGGUACACCGUAAUUACGAAUUAAUCGCGAAACUUGACGAGGAACGCUUUGUGCGUUUAGACGCGUUCUUGUCAAAUCAUCGCUAUAAAUUAUCGCGUGGAUAUAACGAUAUAUCGAAGUUGUACGUAAAUGUCACGGUGCAUCUGUGGAACGCUCAACUUUCUUCGUCUUCAAAAUCUUACGGGACAACUUUUUCCAUAAAGCCGAGAGUUAUACAUCGCUCGUAUCCGGAGUUGUACGUUUACAGUAGACAACUCGUUCGAAGUUUGCUCCAUUUAACCAUGGAUCUUUGCGAGACGCAUGCUGCCAUCAAGAAAACAUAUGAAAGACUGAAAAGUUUGGCCCGUGGAACUUCAAUUACGCACAACAAUGUAUGAGCAGCGUGUGAACCGACAUAAUAAACGCAGCGCUUUGGAGACUAAAAAAGUUCGGAAAGAAAAAAAAGAGGAAGUGCAAGUUCUAAAUAAUAAUUAUGAAGAAGAAGGAUUGUUGUAUGGUGCUGGCAUUGCUAACUAACCGGUCGAAAUUGUGACCUCCACAUUGUAUGCAGAUAAUCAACUCCGAUAACAACUUUCGGACGGCAGCUUAUAACUUAGAUAUUUCCAUCGGAAACACAUUAAAAAAAUUUCGAAGUGUAGUUCAAAAUAUUGAUAAAAUAA